UACGAGGGAUCCUAGCGUUGUUCGGAAUCAUUGGGCGUAAAGGGUGUGUAGGCGGCCUUACAAGUCAGUUGUGAAAUCCCCGGGCUCAACCCGGGAAGUGCUUCUGAUACUGUUUGGCUUGAGUACUGGAGAGGUGAGUGGAAUUCCAGGUGUAGUGGUGAAAUACGUAGAUAUCUGGAGGAACACCGGUGGCGAAGGCGGCUCUCUGGGACGGUACUGACGCUGAGACGCGAAAAGCGUGGGGGAGCGAACAGG
rnacentral:rRNA from 1 species